GAGGAAACUCUAGCGUGGAUCUGUGUAGGUGUGGCUGUGGAACCUGUUGAUCCACAUUCUGUCAAACAGUUGGAUUGGGAAAUGUUUGGUUCCUCACAGAAUAGUAUCAGGUGAUCACAUCUGUUCUGAAGACAGUAGAGUGUUUGAGUGAACUCCUUCCAGACUCUUCAGUCCAAAGCUGCUCAGCCUGUUUUCCAUUCCAUUCCAGAAGGUUCUUGGCUGGAAACGGUCCACAGUGGAGCUCAGUGGAAGCGGUCCAGUGACACCUGUGUGCUUCUGAAGCCUGGGUCCCUUCAGUCCCAAGGACGUUCAACUACAACUGUGGACUUUGUGCAGGAAGAUGAAAGUGUUGGUGGUGGUUGGGCUCCUCAUCCACGUUUCCCAGCAUGCACUGGCUGUAGUGGUGCAGGCCUAUGAGGGGAUGGAGUCGGUCCUGCUGCCCUACCAGUAUUCUGGCGGGUUCCCGGACGUUCCCUUUUCAGUGGUUUGGAAACGCUCUGAUCUGAACCAAACAGUUAUUCACCUGCUGAAAUACGACAGUGGUGGCAAACUGAAAGAGGAAUACCGACACAGUAACCGCACGUAUAUGAAGCCCGACGCUCCGCAAUCUGGAAACCUCAGCCUCACUGUGAAGAAACCACAACUGUCUGACAGCAGCAACUACACCUGUAACCUCCAAUGGGAAACACAGAGGGGCGGGCCUAAAGAAGACAGAAUGACACAGAUGACCAGGAGGAGGUGGAGGUCCGGCAGGGGGCGGAGUCUAUCCGUCUGCCUUGUCAAGCUUCAGCCGAUCUGCCUGAAGACACUACAGUGGACUGGACUCACUUUGAUCCAGAACUGA
rnacentral:lncRNA from 1 species